UCUUGUAAAACCUGAAUUGGUUCCCUCAGUGUCUGUUGCUUUUGUGUGCAUGCCAAGUGGGUGGCGGGAGUGCCCUUUUUUGCUGCAGUUAACUGUUUUUGGGCAACUCGAUGUGUUAAUGCAUCAAUUGUAGGUCUUAACCCACUUAAUUUUGGUUUUUUACUUUGAGAUUCUUUUUUAUUCACUCCCCUGUGAUCGAGUCGCAGAUCCUGUCUCCUAAUGUGCUCUGUGAACUAUUCCCAUUUUUUCCUUCAUUUGAUUUACCAAGUCAGUGAAAGUAUUGUGUGCUACUUUUUCCAUUUGUGCACUUCCUUCUCCCAUUCUGACAGGCACCAGUCUAGGGCCUGGUUUAGCUUUUACCAGAACCUGGCUUUUAUCAUAAGGUGGUGAUUGCACUGCCUAGGGCCACCUUUUUCCAUUUCUGUCCCCCUUCUUCAGGCUCAGGGGAGCUACCUGAAGCCUGCUGUUGACCACCAAUAUUUAUAACAGAGGACGGCGCAUGUAUUUUUUGUCGGUUCCCUGCAGCUGUUUCCAAUGGUUUAGUCUGUUUCUGUGCUGGGUUGUCUCUGGGUUGCUUGCAAGGGGGGUGGGAGCAUUCCAGGGCUGUGUAGCUUCUUUUGAGUCCUUUAACGCUUUCUUUGUUACUGAUACUUGCCCCGCCCAUUUUGUGGCAUGCUGUUUUAACCAUUUAACAGCCAUGGCUAUAGUUUGCAAUAUUUUACAUUUUAAGGCUACAGUCUCUGCCUUAGCUUUACAAAUUACAUUGCAUGUUUCUUCCCCAUUAUACUUUCUAAACUUCCCUAGCUCAUGGUUUUCUGUCAUGUUAGAUCAGGAUUCCUACAGCAGACAGCUCACUUAUUCACCAGAUCAGCGGUCGGGGUCACCAAUGUCGUCAGAUGGUACCAGUGUGGUGCUCUGCUCUGUUCAAUGUUGAUAUCAGUUGGCUGCAUGCGUGUGUUCCCUCUGUGUGAUGCCCUGGCUCUGCAGAUCGCUGACACAGCAGACCCUGAGAGAGCCCCCAGUGACCACAGACUCUGAUAAAGGCUACAGAAUAACGUCCAGGUUUCAUUCCAGAUCCACCCAGGGGGAAGGAAAUGGCUGCAAUGGAGCUGGCUCAGGGGCCGGUGACAUUCGAGGAAGUGGCUGUGUAUUUCACUAGGGAAGAGCGGGCUCUGCUGGACCUCAGUCAGAGAGACCUCUACAGGGAUGUCAUGCAGGAGAACUAUGAGACGGUGGUCUUGCUGGGGUUUCCAGUUUCCAAACCUGAUGUGAUCUCACAGCUGGAACAAGGGGAAGAGCCGUGGG